rnacentral:lncRNA from 10 species
CAAAAUUUCAUCUUGAAUUGUAAUCCCCAUAAUCACCAUAAUCCCCAAAUGUCAAGGAAGAGACAAGGGGGAGGCAACUGAAUCAUGGAGGCGGCUUCCUCCAAGCUGUUCUCAUGAUAGUGAGUCAGUUUUCACGAGAUGUGAUGGUUUUAUAAGUGUUUGAUAGUUCCACCUGUGUUCAUUCUCCUUCCUGACACCCUGUGAAGAAGGUGCCUUGCUUCCCCUUUGCCUUCCACCACAAUGCUAAGUUUCUUGAGGCCUCCCGAGACAUGCUGAACUGUGAGUCAGUCAACUAAGCCUCUUUCCUUUAUAAAUUACCCAGUUUCAGGCAAUUCUUUAUAGCAAUGUGAAAAUGGACUAAUAUACAACUGAAGUCAUUUGGUAAAAUAAGCUUCAAGAUUCCUCUUUUCAUCUCUCACUGAAGAUUGACAACUCAUAUUAAACUGUAUAUGGAAGCACAAACAUUGAAGAAUAGCCAAACAUUCUUGAAGAAAAGAAACAAAUGGAGAGAACUUGUCCUUCAAAUAUCAUUUACUAUAAUAAAGCUGUAGUAAUUAAGAAGGCAUGGUUUUGGCACAGGGAUAAGCACUCAAACCAAUGAGAGAAAAUGGAAUUCUAAAAUAUGAAAAUUAUUCAAACGGGGCUGGCAUUCCUGAUUGAUGGAAAGCACAGACUAGUCAAUUAAUGCAAUAGUUGGUCAUUCAUAUGAGGAAAAAAUGAAAUUAGGUUAGCUUAUACCAUACAAAAUUCAAUCACAAAUGGAUUAAAAACCUAUAAACAAACAAAAAACUCUAUUAAAUAUUUAGAAGACACUAUGUGAGAAUAUUUUUAAAACUUGAGAUAAAUGAUUCCUUAAGGUACAAAACAGCAAAAAAUGACAACCUUUAUUAUAUAAAAAUUAAUUUGUGUUUUCCAGAAUCACAAAAAAGAAAAAAAGCAAGGUAAAAAUAGAGAAAAGAUAUUAGCAACAAAAAUUAGAUAAAAUACUAGUAUUUGGAGUAUCAAAUGGAUUCUGAGAAUCAAAGAGAAAAAAAUCAGUUUAAUAUAAUGAUAGAUAAGAGGAAUAAAUAGGAAUUUCAUAUGAGAGGAAGCACAAAUCUCAUAUAAACAUGUGAACAAGCCUUUAACAUCAUUAGUAGCCAGGGAAAAACAAGACCACACCCCAAAAAUUAAGAACAUAGACCAUUUCAUUCUCAUAAGAUGGUCAAUAGUCAAAAUUGUGCCAAAUAUAGAGCAAGGGAAGCUCCAGUCUCCUACUGGUGGGAGAGUAAAUUGAUACAAUCAUUUUGGAAAACAGUUUGACAUUACCUGCUACAGCUGAAAACAAACAUGUUCUAUAAACCAGGAAUUCUACCGUUAGAUAUUUAAUCCAUAAAAACUCAAAAGACAAAUGCACAAAGUUUACAGUUUUGUUUGUUUAAACAAAAAGAAAAAAAGGAAAACUGAAGCAAGUCAAAUGUUCUUCAGAAGUAGAAAGAACAUUUAAAUUGAAACAAAAUUUCACAAUGAACUGUGAUAGGGCAUUGAGUGAAUUACUACAGAGGAGGGGUGGGUAAACCAAAACCUACAGAGCAGUCAAAUGUUUUUAUAAAUAAAGUUUUAUUGGAGCACAAUCACAUCAAUUUGUUUAUGUAUUGUGUAUGGCUGCUUUCGUACUAUAAUAGAGUUGAGUAGGUGCAACAGAGACCGCAUGGCCUGCGAAGACUAAAAUAAUUACUAACUAGUCCUUUACAGAAAAAGUUUGCUGACUCAUAUUAAAGAUAAUUAAAAGGACUAAUAACAUUUUUUCAAAUCAACAUGAAUGAAUCUCAGAGUUAUUAUGAUUAUAUUGAAUAAUG